GACGGUACCUGACUAAGAAGCCCCGGCUAACUACGUGCCAGCAGCCGCGGUAAUACGUAGGGGGCAAGCGUUAUCCGGAUUUACUGGGUGUAAAGGGAGCGUAGACGGCACGGCAAGCCAGAUGUGAAAGCCCGGGGCUCAACCCCGGGACUGCAUUUGGAACUGCUGAGCUAGAGUGUCGGAGAGGCAAGUGGAAUUCCUAGUGUAGCGGUGAAAUGCGUAGAUAUUAGGAGGAACACCAGUGGCGAAGGCGGCUUGCUGGACGAUGACUGACGUUGAGGCUCGAAAGCGUGGGGAGCAAACAGGAUUAGAUACCCUGGUAGUCCACGCCGUAAUUUUAUUACUGCUAGGUGUCGGGUGGCAAAGCCAUUCGGUGCCGCAGCUAACGCAAUAAGCAGUCCACCUGGGGAGUACGUUCGCAAGAAUGAAACUCAAAGGAAUUGACGG
rnacentral:rRNA from 1 species